UAACAAGGUCUCCGUUGGUGAACCAGCGGAGGGAUCAUUAUAGAGUUUUCUAAACUCCCAACCCAUGUGAACUUACCAUUGUUGCCUCGGCAGAAGCUACCUGGUUACCCUACCUUGGAACGGCCUACCCUGUAGCGCCUUACCCUGGAACGGCCUACCCUGUAACGGCUGCCGGUGGACUACCAAACUCUUGUUAUUUUAUUGUAAUCUGAGCGUCUUAUUUUAAUAAGUCAAAACUUUCAACAACGGAUCUCUUGGUUCUGGCAUCGAUGAAGAACGCAGCGAAAUGCGAUAAGUAAUGUGAAUUGCAGAAUUCAGUGAAUCAUCGAAUCUUUGAACGCACAUUGCGCCCAUUAGUAUUCUAGUGGGCAUGCCUGUUCGAGCGUCAUUUCAACCCUUAAGCCUAGCUUAGUGUUGGGAGCCUACUGCUUUUGCUAGCGGUAGCUCCUGAAAUACAACGGCGGAUCUGCGAUAUCCUCUGAGCGUAGUAAAUUUUAUCUCGCUUUUGACUGGAGUUGCAGCGUCUUUAGCCGCUAAACCCCCCAAUUUUUUAAUGGUUGACCUCGGAUCAGGUAGGAAUACCCGCUGAACUUAAGCAUAUC
rnacentral:rRNA from 1 species